AGAUUGAACGCUAGCGGGAUGCUUUACACAUGCAAGUCGAACGGCAGCGCGGACUUCGGUCUGGCGGCGAGUGGCGAACGGGUGAGUAAUAUAUCGGAACGUGCCCAGUAGCGGGGGAUAACUACGCGAAAGCGUGGCUAAUACCGCAUACGCCCUACGGGGGAAGGGGGGAUUCUUCGGAACCUCUCACUAUUGGAGCGGCCGAUAUCAGAUUAGCUAGUUGGUGAGGUAAAGGCUCACCAAGGCGACGAUCUGUAGCUGGUUUGAGAGGACGACCAGCCACACUGGGACUGAGACACGGCCCAGACUCCUACGGGAGCAGCAGUGGGAAUUUGGACAAGUGGGGGAAACCCUG
rnacentral:rRNA from 1 species